GUGGUUCAAAGGUAGGAUUCAUUCUGGUAGGUUAGGUAUACCUGGCAAAAGCCAACAUUAACCGGCACAACUACCUAGUAACGUUAGCUUGCUAUUGAUUGCAACAGCUACCGUGGGGUGCGCGAGUAUGGGAGGCGUCGAUUAUGCUGAGUGUCAUUAUUGUAACUUAUAACGUUUGCACAUUUCAGAUUUCAAUCGUUCAGGAGACAGAAUAAUGCUGGAGUCCAAAGGCGGCAAACCGGGAGAAGCAGGUUGAUAACUAUGAGGGUUUGCCUGAUCGCUGACCCUACCAUCCGGCAGCUGAACAGGAUAGGAUUGGGGAACCAUAGGGCAGCUUCCGAGCACUUUUUGUGGACUCCAUAAAGCCUUCCACUGCCAGGGACCUGUUUAAAGUAACCUAUUCCAUACCUGAAUGCAACCGGCGGUGUUUGGAGAAUGACACCAUCUGCCACUGGUUCAACUGGCUGGCUGAGGUGCAAGAUGGAGAAUGUCCUCCUCUAACAGUGGCGCUGGUGUUGGAGGUUGCUACUGGGGCAACGGUGGUGCCACCCCUUGGGUUUGAGGACACCCCGACCAUCGAAUUCCUCCACACAGCGCGAGGGCGUCUCGCUGGGCAGCAGAAGAAAAAGUACCCAGAGGCAAACACGUGUGCUGUGACACUAAGGCUCCCUCUUCAUAGCACCUACAAUGCCUUUAGGGAAUUCAUGACCGCCGGUAUUGUGAAUUCCCCACAUUUCGGUGUUGCAUAAAAA
rnacentral:lncRNA from 1 species